rnacentral:rRNA from 1 species
UUUUGAUUUCUCCCUUCUGAAGAACUUUGAUGUCAUUAAUUUGGUGUCUUAGGGAAUCAGGACUGUUACUUUGAAAAAAUUAGAGUGUUUAAAGCAAGCUCACGCUUGAAUACAUUAGCAUGGAAUAAUGAAAUAGGACGUUUGAUUCUAUUUUGUUGGUUUCUAGGAUCGACGUAAUGAUUAAUAGGGAUAGUUGGGA